rnacentral:tRNA from 1 species
GGCCCGAUGGUUUAGUGGUAUAAUUCUCGCUUAGGGUUCUCUAAGCACGAUUGCGAGAGGUCCCGGGUUCAAUUCCCGGUUGGGCCC